UGAGCGCUGGCGGCGUGCCUAAUACAUGCAAGUCGAGCGAACAGACGAGGAGCUUGCUCCUCUGACGUUAGCGGCGGACGGGUGAGUAACACGUGGAUAACCUACCUAUAAGACUGGGAUAACUUCGGGAAACCGGAGCUAAUACCGGAUAAUAUAUUGAACCGCAUGGUUCAAUAGUGAAAGACGGUUUUGCUGUCACUUAUAGAUGGAUCCGCGCCGCAUUAGCUAGUUGGUAAGGUAACGGCUUACCAAGGCAACGAUGCGUAGCCGACCUGAGAGGGUGAUCGGCCACACUGGAACUGAGACACGGUCCAGACUCCUACGGGAGGCAGCAGUAGGGAAUCUUCCGCAAUGGGCGAAAGCCUGACGGAGCAACGCCGCGUGAGUGAUGAAGGUCUUCGGAUCGUAAAACUCUGUUAUUAGGGAAGAACAAAUGUGUAAGUAACUAUGCACGUCUUGACGGUACCUAAUCAGAAAGCCACGGCUAACUACGUG
rnacentral:rRNA from 1 species